CCAUCCGGGAAACAAAAUGUGAACAUAACAGGAUGUAAAAAAGGAAUACGAUAACAAAUGGUGGGAAGUAAGUGUGUCAUCUCAUCUCUCAUCCAUCAUCCAUCACAGUUAUGCUAAACUCUUUUUGAUGUUGUUUUUUGGUUUAAAUUGUUCCAUGUUUCUUUUUUUUGUUUUCU
rnacentral:ribozyme from 12 species